AUGGCGGUGGUAGCAGUGGUGGCAGUGGUUAUUGUGGUGAUGAUGGUGGUCAUGUGUGGUGGCGUUGAUGGUGACAAUGGUAUUGAUAGCAGUGAUGGUGCUGGUGGUUGUAGUGAUAGUUGUGGUGGUGGUGGUGGUGGUUGUUAAUAGUG